GUGGUCUUUGUUUCCAAAGGAUCCACCACAAGGCACUUGAUGUGGCUUCCUGAAACUGAGCAAAACUUUCCGUUUUUAGCUCCCUAGAUUUAGGAAAAACCUUUAUGCCUUCCCCAACCGCCAGCGUGAAACAGCCAUGAUUUAGGGCGACCGGCGAAAAGAGGGACAGUGAUUCAGCAGCAAAAUUUUCUGGAAAACAGAGGCAGGUGGGAGUAAUGGUGGAAUCACUGGGGGAGGCAUUCAUUUGCCCCCACCAGGGUAGAUAGACACCAAUGAGCAAGCAGAAUAUGAGCUAUUUCGAGGAAGGAAAGUUCUUGUACAUUGAAGAGGCACAGAGAUCUUGGCAAUGUAGCCGGAGGAAGGCGGAUGGCCCUGAGUCAGAAAACGCUUGACUGGGAAAGAUUGUUGGGCUGGCAAAUGAGGAUUAGACUCUAAUUAUCGCAUUGGCAUGUUUCAAAAUUAAAAAAAAAUAU